rnacentral:rRNA from 1 species
AGUGAACGCUGGCGGUAGGCCUAACACAUGCAAGUCGAACGGCAGCACAGUAAGAGCUUGCUCUUACGGGUGGCGAGUGGCGGACGGGUGAGGAAUACAUCGGAUUCUACUUUUUCGUGGGGGAUAACGUAGGGAAACUUACGCUAAUACCGCAUACGACCUACGGGUGAAAGCAGGGGAUCUUCGGACCUUGCGCGAUUGAAUGAGCCGAUGUCGGAUUCGCUAGUUGGCGGGGUAAAGGCCCACCAAGGCGACGAUCCGUAGCUGGUCUGAGAGGAUGAUCAGCCACCCUGGAACUGAGACACGGUCCAGACUCCUACGGGAGGCCGCAGUGGGGAAUAUUGCACAAUGGGCGCAAGCCUGAUCCAGCCAUACCGCGUGGGUGAAGAAGGCCUUCGGGUUGUAAAGCCCUUUUGUUGGGAAAGAAAAGCAGCAGGUUAAUACCCCGCUGUUCUGACGGUACCCAAAGAAUAAGCACCGGCUAACUUCGUG